UGAUCCAUAGCACAACUGGCAAUGCAACGGGCCUUGAACUCGUCGAUUGGAGGUUCAAAUCCUUCUGGAUCAA
rnacentral:tRNA from 1 species